rnacentral:rRNA from 1 species
GAUGAACGCUAGCGGGAGGCCUAACACAUGCAAGCCGAGCGGUAUUGUUUCUUCGGAAAUGAGAGAGCGGCGUACGGGUGCGGAACACGUGUGCAACCUGCCUUUAUCUGGGGGAUAGCCUUUCGAAAGGAAGAUUAAUGCUCCAUAACAUAUUGAUUGGCAUCAAUUAAUAUUGAAAGCUCCGGCGGAUAGAGAUGGGCACGCGCAAGAUUAGCUAGUUGGUGAGGUAACUGCUCACCAAGGCGAUGAUCUUUAGGGGGCCUGAGAGGGUGAUCCCCCACACUGGUACGGAGACACGGACCAGACUCCUACGGGAGGCAGCAGUGAGGAAUAUUGGUCAAUGGGUGCAAGCCUGAACCAGCCACCCCGCGUGAAGGACGACUGCCCUAUGGGUUGUAAACUUCUUUUGUAUAGGGAUAAACCUACCCUCGUGAGGGUAGCUGAAGGUACUAUACGAAUAAGCACCGGCUAACUCCGUGCCAGCAGCCGCCGUAACAC